AAGAUAUUUAGGGAGAUAUCCUGGUACCACCCGAUCUGCCAGAAGCAGCUUUUUCCAGAUUCUGCCACUGCUUCUGGUGAUUUUUGGUAUUCUGUUUAAGGUGGUUGGAACUUUGUGAGACCGACUUGAGACACCGUGUGCCAGUGAUAUAGUUGUUAUGUCCAGAACUAGCCUGCCUCCCACAUAAAUGACUGCUAGACCCAUUAUGCAACUGCAUCAGUCAUGUAGAAGGAACAAAGAUCUGUGUGAUGGUUAAGCAUCAUGCCCAGUAUCAGAGACACUUAGCUUCAAACCUGAGGAACAAUCAUAGUGUUUUGUACGCCAAAAGAACUGUCUAGCUUCUUUUGCGGGUUUUUAAUUUUUGUUAGUUUGGUUUUGGUUUGGUUUGUUUUUUCUUUAUUUAGCCUUUCUAAAUGGCCAUAUAAAUGCCCUCACAUAUAAACCUCUUUGUUAAAGGGAGCAGUGCCAAAGGGUAGUCAAAAUCCUCUAAACAGAACAAAGAAGUCAGUACUUCAGUCAGCAUGUUUCCCUUCCUGCUGUGGGAAAUAAUUAAGACGGUUUUAUUACAAGCAGGGGCUACCUUGUGCCGGGGCACCUGGGGGCAAUUUUGUUUAAAGGACUGGGGAGCCAUUUUGUGGUUGGGGACUGGUGGACUGCUUGUGGUUCUGCUUGAAGUUGCUUAUUGCUGCUGCCUACCUGCUACACAUAGUUCUGCUUGAGUGGGAAGGAAAGCCAGGAAGAAUAUAAGGUGGUGAGACCAGCCUGGGCUCCCUGUCAGGGAACCAUGCAGCCAGCGGCAGGGAAACAACCUGAUAGGUGGAUGAGGACAACCAAUGAACCGCACCAGAAGGCAAAGAUCACCUUUUAAAGAAGAAAAGAGAGAGGCCCGGCAUGGGAGGAGCGAGGGAGUGCUUAUGCAAAUCGAAGGGUUUUAAAAGGGCUCAUCCCUCCCAUUUGGGGUGUGCUCGAACCAAGUCCUGAGUUAGGUGCACCCAGCACACUGUUAAUAAAGUUCUUUGUUUCACUCUA